UACGAAGGGGGCUAGCGUUGCUCGGAAUCACUGGGCGUAAAGCGACACGUAGGCGGACUCUUAAGUCGGUGGUGAAAUCCUGGAGCUCAACUCCAGAACUGCCUUCGAUACUGAGAGUCUUGAGUCCGGGAGAGGUGAGUGGAACUGCGAGUGUAGAGGUGAAAUUCGUAGAUAUUCGCAAGAACACCAGUGGCGAAGGCGGCUCACUGGCCCGGUACUGACGCUGAGGUGCGAAAGCGUGGGGAGCAACAGG
rnacentral:rRNA from 1 species